rnacentral:rRNA from 1 species
AACGAACGCUGGCGGCAGGCCUAACACAUGCAAGUCGAACGAAGUCUUCGGACUUAGUGGCGCACGGGUGAGUAACACGUGGGAAUAUACCUUACGCUGGGGGAUAACAUCGGGAAACUGAUGCUAAUACCGCAUACGCCCUUCGGGGGAAAGAUUUAUCGGCGAAAGAUUAGCCCGCGUCCGAUUAGCUAGUUGGUGAGGUAAUGGCUCACCAAGGCUCCGAUCGGUAGCUGGUCUGAGAGGAUGACCAGCCACACUGGGACUGAGACACGGCCCAGACUCCUACGGGAGGGAGCAGUGGGGAAUAUUGGACAAUGGGCGCAAGCCUGAUCCAGCCAUGCCGCGUGAGUGAUGAAGGCCUUAGGGUUGUAAAGCUCUUUCACCCACGACGAUGAUGACGGUAGUGGGAGAAGAGGCCCCGGCUAACUUCGUG